rnacentral:rRNA from 1 species
UACAGGGGGGGCAAGCGUUGUUCGGAAUUACUGGGCGUAAAGGGCUCGUAGGUGGCCAACUAAGUCAGACGUGAAAUCCCUCAGCUUAACUGGGGAACUGCGUCUGAUACUGGAUGGCUUGAGUUUGGGAGAGGGAUGCGGAAUUCCAGGUGUAGCGGUGAAAUGCGUAGAUAUCUGGAGGAACACCGGUGGCGAAGGCGGCAUCCUGGACCAAUACUGACACUGAGGAGCGAAAGCCAGGGAGCAAACGGG